ACCUCAGUUAAUUUGUUAAACCAAAUUUUCAAACUGAUCUUUGUGUUGCUUUAUUUAACAACUUUGAUAUAUGAAACGAUUAUCAGACUACAUGCGUACACAUUGAAGAACGCUUUUCUGAAAAAAACAACAGAAGUGUGCAUGUUUAGGAACCUCGAUUUAUGAAAGGAGCAUAAGCCUAUGUUGAGGUACAUCCAAACAAGCUCUUCUGAAAGCAACAAAAGUGUGCUUAUCCCCGAAACGAUGCAAGACGUCAGUACAUGAAAAUGCUCAUCUGACUGGAAGCUCAUUGCCAUGCGCACCAGCCACAGCGUCGAAUUCACAAGCCUCUGAAGUCCGUGCAGGUUUCGGUCAUUAACACCUCUGUGUGGUAAAGUCCAGUGAAUCAAGACUUAGCAGAUGGCGUCGGCAACAGCAUCGCCGUCGAUCGGAGCUCACAGCAAGGAGGAGAUCAAUCAGCUGGAGCAAACUGCUACCUACAUGCUGCUGCCUUGCCU